GAGUUUGAUCCUGGCUCAGGACGAACGCUGGCGGCGUGCCUAAUACAUGCAAGUCGAACGAGAAGUUCUAAACAGAUAGUGCUUGCACUUGACGAUUAGAAAUUCGAGUGGCGGACGGGUGAGUAACACGUAGGUAACCUGCCCAAAAGAGGGGGAUAACACCUGGAAACAGACGCUAAUACCGCAUAACCAUGAUAGCCGCAUGGCUAUUAUGUAAAAGAUGGUUUUGCUAUCACUUUUGGAUGGACCUGCGGCGUAUUAGCCAGUUGGUAAGGUAAUGGCUUACCAAGGCAAUGAUACGUAGCCGAACUGAGAGGUUGAUCGGCCACAUUGGGACUGAGACACGGCCCAAACUCCUACGGGAGGCAGCAGUAGGGAAUCUUCCACAAUGGACGCAAGUCUGAUGGAGCAACGCCGCGUGAGCGAAGAAGGUCUUCGGAUCGUAAAGCUCUGUUGUUAGAGAAGAACAGCCAUGAGAGUAACUGCUCAAGGUUUGACGGUWUCUAACCAGAAAGCCACGGCUAACUACGUGCCAGCAGCCGCGGUAAUACGUAGGUGGCAAGCGUUGUCGGGAUUAUUGGGCGUAAAGGGAACGCAGGCGGUCUUCUAAGUCUGAUGUGAAAGCCCUCGGCUUAACCGAGGAAUUGCAUUGGAAACUGGGAGACUCGAGUGCAGAAGAGGAGAGUGGAACUCCAUGUGUAGCGGUGGAAUGCGUAGAUAUAUGGAAGAACACCAGUGGCGAAAGCGGCUCUCUGGUCUGUAACUGACGCUGAGGUUCGAAAGCGUGGGUAGCAAACAGGAUUAGAUACCCUGGUAGUCCACGCUGUAAACGAUGAAUACUAGGUGUGGGGGGACUGACCCCCUCCGUGCCGCAGUUAACACAAUAAGUAUUCCACCUGGGGAGUACGAUCGCAAGAUUGAAACUCAAAGGAAUUGACGGGGGCCCGCACAAGCAGUGGAUUAUGUGGUUUAAUUCGACGCAACGCGAAGAACCUUACCGAGGUUUGACAUCCCACUAACGAAGUAGAGAUACAUUAGGUGCCCUUCGGGGAAAGUGGAGACAGGUGGUGCAUGGUUGUCGUCAGCUCGUGUCGUGAGAUGUUGGGUUAAGUCCCGCAACGAGCGCAACCCCUAUUGUUAGUUGCUACGAAAGAGCACUCUAGCGAGACUGCCGUUGACAAAACSGAGGAAGGCGGGGACGACGUCAAAUCAUCAUGCCCCUUACGCCUCGGGCUACACACGUAAUACAAUGGCGGUCAACAGAGGGAAGCGAAUCGGCGACGAAGAGCGAAUCCCGAAAAGCCGUCCCAGUUCGGAUUGCAGUCUGCAACUCGACUGCAUGAAGUUGGAAUUGCUAGUAAUCGCGGAUCAGCAUGCCGCGGUGAAUACGUUCCCGGGCCUUGUACACACCGCCCGUCACACCAUGAGAGUCGGGAACACCCGAAGUCCGUAGUCUAACCGAAAGGAGGGCGCGGCCGAAGGUGGGUCUGAUAAUUGGGGUGAAGUCGUAACAAGGUAGCCGUAUCGGAAGGUGCGGCUGGAUCACCUCCUU
rnacentral:rRNA from 1 species